rnacentral:rRNA from 1 species
CCUACGGGAGGCAGCAGUGGGGAAUCUUGCGCAAUGGGCGAAAGCCUGACGCAGCAACGCCGCGUGCGGGACGAAGGCCUUCGGGUUGUAAACCGCUUUCAGCAGGGACGAUGAUGACGGUACCUGCAGAAGAAGCCCCGGCCAACUACGUGCCAGCAGCCGCGGUAACACGUAGGGGGCGAGCGUUGUCCGGAUUUAUUGGGCGUAAAGAGCUCGUAGGCGGCUCGGUAAGUCAGGUGUGAAACCUCCAGGCUCAACCUGGAGACGCCACCUGAUACUGCCGUGGCUAGAGUCCGGUAGGGGAGCAUGGAAUUCCUGGUGUAGCGGUGAAAUGCGCAGAUAUCAGGAGGAACACCAGCGGCGAAGGCGGUGCUCUGGGCCGGAACUGACGCUGAGGAGCGAAAGCGUGGGGAGCAAACAGGAUUAGAUACCCUGGUAGUCCACGCCGUAAACGUUGGGCACUAGGUGUGGGUCCUUACCAACGGGAUCCGUGCCGUAGCUAACGCAUUAAGUGCCCCGCCUGGGGAGUACGGCCGCAAGGCUAAAACUCAAAGGAAUUGACGG